CUGACGUCAUUUCAUUCUGUUGAUUAGUUGGUUUGGAUGGGCCGAACACCCCGAACAGCAUAGCAGCGCUCAAUUCAAAUUAGGCAAAUUUCGAACGGAUUCAAAUGUAGACAACACACACUUGUUGUCCGCUGAAUCCUUGCCUCGACCGCAGCCGCAAUGUCUGUCUCAAAUAACGUAUUGUGAGAGGGGGAAAAAAGUGUUUAAGGAUCUGUCGGGAACACACGUCGAUAAUUAUUAUUCUUUUUUCUCACGACAAAAAUUCCUUCGCUCUAAAUAAACUCUAGCACAAAAUAAAGUCCCUGCGUUCAAUACUGUAGGUUCAGCGAGCCCAAUUAACCUGUUUAUUCAGAAGAGCUGUGUCAGUAUGAAGUCACGUAGACCGAAGCUACCGACACGCCACUCCGGUUGUAAACUUGUAUCCCUCCGCGAUAAAAACAACAAACUUUUAAAAUCAUUUCAUGCCCAAACAACGAAUGCUGCCGCCAACUUUGGAGUUUGAGACCAUGCUCGUCCUCAACGUCAGUAAUUAAAUUCGCAGACUCAACUUCCGCCAUCAUUAAUAUGCAUGAAAUUUCUCUCACGUUCCUCCUCGAUGAUGGAGGAGAGGGGAAGGGGGGGGGGGAGAAAGGUACGCUUGGAAAUGAGUACCGACCGCGGGAGAGAGGGAU
rnacentral:lncRNA from 1 species